GCGCCAGCCGCCGGGCACCUUUGCCCACCUGCGCUGUAAGCCUGAACCAGGGCGGGGGAAGUCCCGGAGACGUUUGCGCAGGCGACCUCGAGAGAGCACGAUUGAGCACGAGCAGCGUGAGGGGCAGAACAGACCCUAAUAAUCCGUUUUAAUACUACCUGCAGGAAAAAUGUGAGAACCACUGCUCUAGAAGGUGUACGAUGUCAGGAUUCAGCAAUUCUGCACAUUACUCAGCCCUCCCCAAGAUGAGUGUACUCUUAAUCCCCUUCACCUGUUUUAUCCAUCUCCUCAUCUACCUCCCCUCUGGCAACCACUACUUUGUUCUCUAUAAUCAGGAGUCUGUCUUUCUCUUUGUCUCUUUUUGCCUUGUUCAUUUGUUUUCUUUCAAUAACUGUUGAGUGCUUUCUGGAUAGCAUGGUGCCAGGCACUCGCUUUGUUUUAGGCAUUGAGGCAGACGAUGCUGGUUACCUUCCAGUGUUCACUUUGUUCUUCUUUACUAGUCAACACUGACCUUGCUUAGGUGGCAGUGUGUUCAGUCUAAGAAGAAGAAGAAGAAUUCUCCUAGCCUCUCAUGCAACUACAGCUUGUCGUGUGGCACAGUUCCAUCCAGUAAGACAAAUGUGGAAGAUGGUCAGAACUGUCUGAGAAGGUUUUGCGUUCCUGCCCUCUGCACGGCUCCUUCUUCCUGCUUGUGUCAGGGCAGGAAUGCUGGGGUCAACGUCGCCAUGCUUCAACUAUGAUUUCCCUAAGGCAAAGAGCCAACAACCAUCAGCAGCCACCCUCUUCCAGACUGCUUAGGGCAUGAGAAAAAAAUCAGCCACAAGUUUUGCUGAUGCCACAGGUUAACCAGGUUUCCCAUUACUCAAGAAUGAUCAAAAUCCCUGGUUUGAGGAUAUAAACAUGAACAAAACAAUUCGUAGUCUUAAGGAGCUCCUAAAGGAGAGACAUUGGAAAUCAACACAGGAAACCCCAGAGGACAACGUGCUCCACAAGGGCCCACUGGUUGCAGGUGGGAGAAGUGAAUGAAGACUUAGAGGUAAGAGGAGAGCCCAAGGAAGGCUUCACAGAAGAGGAAAGUCUUAGGUUGUGUGUUUAAAGAAAAAGAAGUGUUGGGAUGUUCCAGCAGUGGCUGGCAGCACCGUGCAGAACCAGCCCACUAGCUCCAACUCCUGGUUCUGCUGGUCACUCGGUCGCCUCGUUGCAUGUGAACUGCAGACAGGCACACAAAUUGAUCUUUUUGAUUUCGUUCCCAGUGCCUGGCAUUUAGGAGAGGCUCAAAAUACACUUGCUGAAUUGAGACCUCUCUGAAGUUCCAUAGAACCAGGCACCUUCUACCAUAUUUUAUUUCAUGGUUAUGCUAAUAAUUUAUAGCCAUUUACCCCCUCUAGAAAGCAUAUGGCACAAGGGGGCAUCCAUUGGUAUCUGAGGUAGAUCGAAUGCCUAGAACUGUGCCUAGCACACAGUAGGUACUCAAUAAAUUCUUGUUGCAUGAAUGAGCACCAAGUUUUCUCAUCUAUAAAAUGUAGAUAACUAUAGCUAUCAAAAAGGAUUGAGUGGAUAAGAGAAAAAUGCAUUUCAAAUGUCUUGCCCUGAACUUCUCACAUGGGUAGCUGUAACGAUGCUUUUGUCUUCUGUAAAACUUGGAGACCCAUUCCUAACAUAGCCACAAGCAGCAACACUUGAGGUCAGCAGCCUAGUCUGUUCUUAGAACUGAGACUGGUUUGAGCAUUUCUCGGGGCCAGUGUGGCAGUUCCAGCAGGGAAGUGUUCGCCUGAAGUACUGGAAAGUCUGUCAGGAGAGAACUGGUCCCAGGAAAGAAUUUCUCUUGGGGGGGAAAAGUCAGUAUUCACGAACUUGAUUCAAAAAUCAGUGAGCCCUGAUGCUCAGACGGUCUUUAGGCCCAAUACCCAUAGAUUCUGCUUGAGGUUCAGGAAGGGUGACCCACAAAAUAAGAGGGCUGUUUUGUUAAAAUAUCCCAGACUAUGUGAGCCCUGGGUUCUGCUGCCUUAUUAGCAAACUGCAGCAGUUGCUGUCUGGACAGAAGAAGUGGGAGGAUGUGACACCAUGGGUGCCUUGGCCUUCUGAGGCUGAUCUGGCAGCAAGUGGCAGAGCAGUUGAAAUAAAUAUGUGAAUGAUAGCGGAACAGAACCUUGUUCCAAGCACAUGUGAUGCCAGGAAUAGCUAGGAAGAGAUGAAGUCACUGGAGUCUCUACAGAGAAGGUGGGGACAAGGAAACAUUGUAUUGUGACCCUGUAUUUCCCAAGAGAUUGGUUAUAGUCUCAAGAAAUGUUAAACAGGUGACAAUAGAGAUCAUGCCUUCUAGUUACCUAAUUACCUACAGUUCUCUCCAUACUCUGGUUUGUUGCUUAAGAGAAAAAAAAAUCUGUUCUUUCUCUUAAAAAUUCUA